UGAAAAGACCAUGAAAAUGGCGCUAGGUGUCAUGAGCAGCCCGCAAUUUUUACUACUCUUCUGCGUGCUUUAAGUUGAUCUGUAGCUAUAGGCACAUGCUGCACUUUAAGCAUGGGAAAAGUCUCAUUUAAGUCAUAGUUAUAUAAGUGAGAAGUCCCACUGCCUGAUCAUAUGCUUGAGUGCUUUGUUGCAGCAGGGUCAGCGUGACCCAGAUUUGGCCUCAGGUUUAAAUUCUGGAGGUUGGCUCUAUCUGAAUCACGUUACAGGACACAAGAGGGCUGAUUUUUCAGAAAGGAUGAACACUGUGAUGGUCAGUAGAAACGGUGGGUGUUCCACAUCUCUGAAAACUAGGCACAAAUUUUAUCAGUGGCUCUCAACAUUUUUAAGCUUGAGGCACUCCUCAUUAUAUGCAAAACACCCCUCAUUAGGCUUGAGGCACCCCUGGGAAUAUGUUAGCUCUUAGUUUUUUGACUACAGAACAAAAAUAGUUUUUCUGUUAUGAAGAACUCGAAAAAAUUACAAGAAGUCAGAAUGUUUUUAACACUGUGGUUUCCUAUUUAGCACCCUCAUUGAGAAUCACUGAAUUAUACAAAGGAAGAUUGUGUGAUUAAUAGACAGGAAGCCAAAUAAAUGAACAACAGCACUGAAACAAUCAUUUACAGAGGAGAAGUGCCUGCAUUCUACACUCAUUUGCCCCAUUUGCAUGGGGUCCAUGAGAACGAGCUUUCCAAAUCUUGAAAAAUCAACAGAAGACUUUCCAGUAACUGAAACACUUGUCAGUUCUGUAUUGUCAGAGUGACGUGCACUGCAGAUGUCCAGGACUCCAUUGACCAGUCCUCCCUUCCUCCACUCCUGUUUUUUAGAGACCUUAUCAAAAUGGCAACAUCUUUAAAUGAAAAAUGCCCUCUGGCUUUUGCUCUCAAUCUGCAUUUCUGAAGUCCUUUUGGGGUUGGUGAACUGUAGGAAGCUGGUGCAGCAUUACCACAUCACUCUUUUGCACCAGGAAGUCUGCUGGAAAGGGACAGCAGACAGGUUCCAGGGAAGUGGUGUCAGGCCUGGCUGCCACUUACAUUCAGGUCAGAGCCAAUUCUACCAGCUCUGCAUUGUCCCUGCAACUCUUCCUGGCUGAGAACACACUAAAGAUGGAAUAGAGUUUGGAGGAGAAAUGGCCUGGACAGAGCUGCACCUCCCCUGCCAGGUGCCAUGAAACUCACUAAAGCACAAGGACAAAGUAGGACAACUUAGAGCCACAUCAGCCCCUGGAACUUCUGGAUAAGGGGAAAUGCAGAUACAGGCGUCAGCACAGGGAUAAAUGUGGUCCUUAAUCCAGGCACCAACCCUUGCUGUGACCUGAUGCAGGCAUACAUAAAAACUAAACGAAAGAAGUAAAUUUUAAAGAGUUCUAUUCCUUCAAGUAUGUAGAUGAACUCAUCUGCAGGGCUGCAGCUGCCAGCAAUAAUCUAUCCAUCUCAGGAGAUGAAUAGCUAGCCCGAUAAUGAGAUCAUCUCCAUUGAAAUGAACUCCCUGCUAUUCAAUUUGCCCAGCUUCGAUUCAUGAAUUCUGCACAAACAGACUUGAGGAAGGCAACUCAACUCUGCUACAAGGUGAGUGGCUAAUGAGCUAAAUUAUUUUAUGAAAGCAAAUAUUCAGAAAAGAUGAAUUCAUGAUUAUUUCGUUAAUAUAAUUUAAAAAAAAAGACGUUUAAAGCAAGCUCAGCUAGCAUAUACAUGUGUCUUUCUCACUUGUUCCUUUUAAAGGUACGGAACCUGAUCUGCAGCUGGCAUAAAUCAGCAUAGCUCCAUUGACUUUGUUUGAGCUAUAUCAGCUUACGUUAGCUGAGGAUCAGGCCCGUGACACUGGCUUCGCCAUUGGCUUGUUUCAGUCUGACAGGGAGAUCUGCAGUGAAGCCAACAGUGCUGCUUGUCUUGCAUAAGAGCAUGGAGAAUUUGGCCCUGUGCUUUCAUGCUUUCCCUAGUGCAUCUUAGGCAGACAGUUCAAUCAUUCCCAUUUGCAUUUUUUGAAGAAAACAACUCUUAAUUAAGUCAGCUGGCAGUAAGUGGGUAAAUGGACAUUUUUUUGGCUGAGCAGGAGGCAGAAAAAAGCUCAUGCAGUCAGUAAAGAUACUUUAUCCCCUGCACAGCCAUUUUCAGCCUAUCUGCUGCCUGCCUUUUGAGGCAUCACAGUGUUAAAAAUAUUCUUCCCUGAAGGUAUUACCACACUGCAGCAGAUGUCACUGACUUAGCACUAUUUGAAGGGUCUAUUAAAAGUAAUGUAAUUAAUUGCUUAGGCUGUCAUCACAGCACUGCUUUUAAGAUGUUUCAAAUGGUUUAUUAUUUAGGACCCAGUUCUGCACAGUGCUGAGCCCCAACUCUGCUGGGAGUCAGUAUGGACUACAGGGCACUCAGCAAGCAUCCUUGGGCCUACUCCUACUAGACAUGGUGCUGACUGUUAGCCCUGGUGCCAUAACUUCCAUGGGACUUUGUCCAAUAGCAAGUAUUCAUACUCCUAUUAGUUACUAGCAGGUAGGAGACCCUUGUUUGUAGGCUCUUUCAGUUAGGGACUAUCCUUCUUAUGUAUGCUACAGAACUAAUUACAGAUUCUCUUUCCAGUAAAGUAGAAGGGAAUAAAUGCUGAGAAGAAAAAGUUCUGUAAGCCUAUAGGAGAUAACAGAGCUUGAGCAAUAUAUAGCACAGGUCUCUGAAGAACUAAUGCUAGACUAAUUUUUUUUUUUUAAAUUGACAUAAGAUUACAAGGGAAGCAUUAGAUACAGGUUUGGAUUGUUGUGCAGGAUUUAUCUAUAUACCUUGUUUACAGUCAUUUAGGCCAGUGUCAGUUUAUGUGACACAGAAUAAUAAUAAAUAUGAUUUUGUAAUACACAAAAGGGGGAAGAGCUCUAGUGUGUUGCUACAGGCAUCAGUGUUUAUCUCAUCUAUUUCUCAUUACCGUUAAUGAUACUGAAGAAAGAAUAGAUGGCACAUUAAUGGCAUUCACAUAUGGCACUAAAUGAAGGUGUUUCAAACACCACUGAGGGCAGAGAAAGAAAGCGCUAGUAGUUAGAACCAUCAGCAUAAUAUAAACCUAGAGUUCGGGCAUCAUCCAAAGUCCACAGAAGUCAGGGGAAAAUGUUCCAUUGACUUCAACGGCCUUUAGAUUAGCAUGAGGGGAAAAAAUGCACACUAAUUUAUCUGGGCAAAAAUAAUCCAAGAUACAGCUAUUUUACUGGGAAGGGGAGUAAGGUAAAGAGUAACAAUGAUAAAGAGACUUAGAAGUGAAAGCUGGCAGUAAGUUAGGCAUGACUAUGCAAUGUAAUUUGACAGCUGAACAGGCUAGUGUAAUUUUGAGCUGCAUAAACAGAGACACACUGAUGUAAUGGACUUUUCUACAAAGCUUUGGCACAAUCUCACUUUAAUUAUCCUUGUGUUUGACUCUGGGUACCAUAUUUCCAGAUAAAUAUUGACAAACCACAGGUUUCCAAAGUUAAAGCUGGUUGCAAAUUUUGUAACAGAAGAGUUUUUUUCACAGGAAACUACAGGCUCAACAAAACUGAAAUAUUUUUUCAGGUACACUUCUAUUUUCUUGGAAUUAGAUGAAAAACGAUUGAAAUGCUUUGUCUUAAUGGCUCGAAAAACUUCCUUUUAGCUUUAUCCAUUUGACUAUUUAUAUCUCAUGUUAAAACAAAGCCAAUUAAUAAAGUCAUUUCUAUAAUACUUAUUUUUAAAUGUUCCUUUCUUAGGAAAAUUUGAACUUUUCAAUAUAGCCAUGGUUUUCAAACUGAGGAACUUCCCUAAAUAUUAAAACUUCCAAGUUUUGAUUGACUCCAGGUAUGAUGAAGCUGGAACGAUGGAUGUCAGGCAAAAUCAGCUCCCAGACUACUGCACCAGGCAGCACAGUUUGGGGAGGAGGUAAGUGUGGCACUGAAUUUAUGACCCAGAUACCUUGUUCCAAGCAGAACCACUCUCUUGUAACCACUUACCAAUGCCUCAGAGUCCCAAAUACUUUUUGCCUGUUCAUUCACACAGUCCUUCAGCAGAGACAUCAAUUUUCUCUGCUCUCUCCUAGCUUCCUAUCAAACACAUGAUACGAGGUUAUCUUACUUGACCAAAGCUGACCACAGCACAUACCUUUGUCCACUAUUCUGCGUGACCUGGACAAACAAUGCCUCCUUGGUCAGCAGUGCAACAAACCAACCUCCUACACAAAAACUUUGACACAAACAUGGUUACUUAGCUUACAACCCUGAUUGGCUUUACCUUAGUAUGAGUCUUGAUCCAUCUAGAGAGGUUUACUCUGUAUCAAUAAAUUCCCUGAUCGGUCAGGUUACUGCUCUCAAGUCCCAGCCCCAGGGUUCCAGUCACCAAUUGUUGGCGGUGGAUUAAUGACUCAGAUACAUUGUUCUGGGUGGACCCAAACCCUCAGACCAACCAUGACCUUUCCAUUCAAUAACAGGCAAACUUUAUUAAUACACAGUGAUAGCAGGUAAGUAUAAAACAAGCAAUUCUAUACCUACCAGUCCUAGGGCUGUCAUCAGACUCGAGGUAUGCCUGGCUAGAAUGUGAACUUCACUCUGAGGUUCUAUCUUGAAUAUCAGAUGCCAGCAGCCUGGAAAUCGGAGGCUAAGGCCCACCCCCUGCCCCCAGUGGGGUGGGUGAGAUGGGCUGGUGGUAUGCCCUCUGUCCAUGGUGGCCUCAGGUUUCCCUCUUAGGGACCCUUUGCUGCUCUAAAAUCCUUCCUUUUGUAUCCUUUUUCCCUCUGUGAUGACUCUUCAUCUUUGGGCAUUGCGGAUUGGUCUCUCUGUGUUUGUCAUAAUGUCCAUGUUCUGUCCUGUCAGCAUAUUCCUUUGUUUCACAAGCUCAUUACAUGUGCACAUCCUAAUUUGGGCUUUACCAGUGUCCUCCUAAUUUGGUCUGGUCCCCAAAACCAGAAAUCUUGAGGGCUCUGCACUUGGGCACUGUGACCUAGAGCCACGUUAUCUCAUGUUAUGGAACAGUGUGGUACAAGUAUACAAUUUCCCAGCCUGUGUGUCUAUCCCUCUCUGCCUUGAGGGCUGUGAAACUGUGUGACAACCAGGCUUUUAGAAAUUGAUUAACACUUGCUCUUGCCCUGGACCAUUAUUCUAAUGCAUAUCUACAUUACCUAUAAGCCAAUUCCCAAAAGCAAAGCUCUAAAUGCCAUUCUCUAACCAUCGGUCAGCAGUCCUCAAUAGUAAAAGAGCAGGUUAGGGACUAUUUAGAAAAGCUGGAUGUGUACAAGUCCAUGGGGCCAGAUGCAAUGAAUCUGGGGGUGCUCAGGGAAUUGGCUGAUGUGAUUGCAGAGCCGCUGGCCGUUAUUUUUUAAACCUUGUGGUGAUUGGGGGAGGUCCCGAAUGAUUAGAAAAGGGCAAACAUAGUGCCCAUUUUAAGAAGGGCAGGAGGAUCCAGUGAACUGCAAACCAAUCAGCCUUACCUCAGUCCCCAGAAAAAUCAUGAUACAGGUCCUCAAAGAAUCCAUUUCUAAGCACUUGGAGGAGAAGGUGAUUAGAAACAGUCAGAUUGGUUCACCAAGGCCAAGUCAUGCCUGACCAACCUGAUUGCCUUCUGUGAUGAGAUAACUGGCUCUGUGGCUGCAGGGAAAGCAGUAGAUGUAAUAUACUUUGACUUUAGCAAGGCUUUUGAUACUGUCUCCCACAGUAUUCUUGCAAGCAAGUUGAGGAAGUAUGAGUUAGAUGAAUGGACUAUAAGGUGGAUAGAAAGCUGGCUAGAUGUUGGGCUCAGUGGAUAGUAAUCAAUAGCUCAAUGUCCAGCUUGCAGCCAGUAUCAAGUGGAGUGCCCCAAGGUUCGGUCCUGGGGCCAGUUUUGUUCAAUAUCUUCAUUAACAGGAUGAGAUGGAGUGCAUCCUCAGCAAGUUCGUGGAUGACACCAAGCGGGGGGGGGUAGAUACACUGGAGAGUAGAACUAGGAUUCAGAGUGACUUAGACAAAUUAAAGGAUUAAGCCAAAAGAAAUCUCAUGAGGUUCAACAAGGACAAGUGCAAAGUCCUGCAUUUAGGAUGGAAGAAGAAUCCCAUGUACUGAUACAGCCUGGCGACUGACUAGCUAAGCAGCAUCCGCUCUGCAGAAAAGGGCCUGGGAGUUGCAGUGGCCAAUCAGCUGGAUAUGAGUCAACAGUGUGCCCUUGUUGCCAAGAAGGCUAAUGGCAUACUGAGCUGCAUUAGUAGGAGUGUUGCCAGCAGAUUGUGAGAAGUAAUUAUUCUGCACUGGUGAGGCCACAAUUGAAAUACUAUGUCCAGUUUUGGGCCUCUCACUAUAGAAGGAUGUGGACAAGUUUGAGAGAAUCCAGUGGAGAGCAACAAAAAUUAUUUGGGGACUAGGGUUUAUGAGGUGAGGCUGAGGAAACUGGGUUUAUUUAGUUUGGAGAAGAGACGGCCAAGAGGGGAUUUGAUAGCAGCCUUUAACUACCUGAAGGGCGGUUCCAAAGAAGAUGGAGCUAGAUUGUUCUCAGUGGUGGCAGAUGAUAGAACAAGGAACAAUGGUCUCAAGUUGCAGCAAGGGAGGUUUAGGUUGGCUAUUAGUAAGAACUUUCUCACUAGGAGGGUGGUGAAACACUGGAACAAGUUACCUGGAAAGGUAAUCUUAAUCCCUGGUGCUUUUUAAGGACAGGUUUGACAAAGCCCUGGCUGGAAUAAUCUAGUUGGGGAUGGUCCUGCUUUGACCAGGGGGUUGGACUAGAUGACCUCCUGAGGUCCCUUCCAACCCUCAUUUUGUAUGAUUCUAUGAUUCUAAGUGGUGGAUCAGAUGUUGGUGGCCAGCCAACUGGAUCAAAGAGCUCUGGGUCCCAGGUAGAGUCUCACACACUGCUAGAGACAGGUUACAGUAGCUGCAGCAAUGGUAGCAGGCCAUUGCUGCAGAAAACCAAGGUCUCAGAUUCAAGGCUACAAGCCUGAGAGUAGCUCACAGAGUCAUCUUUGACAUAAUUAGCACACUGGAAUUUGAUGUAUCUGGAGUUAAUAACGAGGGUCUGAAUUGAGGCAAGCCAGAAAAAUGGGAAAUAAUCUUACCAAACUUCUUCCUCACUAGGAUACCAGCCCCAGUUAAGCUAUGCAUCCUAAUUGUACACUUUGCUUUUAAUACAAGAAUAAUUCUAUUAAUGUCAUAGAUUUCAUAGAUAUUAGGGACUGGAAAGGACCUCACAAGAUCAUCGAGUCUAGCCCCCUGCCAUAGGCAGGAAGUCUGCUGGGGUCAAAUGAUCCCAGCAAGAUAAGGAUCCAGACACCUUUUGAAUAAAUCCAGAGUAGGUGCUUGCACCACCUCUGGGGGGAGUUUGUUCCAGACCCUGGACACCCUGAGUGUAAAUGUCAAUAGUGUUCUUGAUGUAUGUAAAAUUACAAGUUAAGGACUUUGUUGAAUCAAGGCUAUAAUGUGAAACUUAAAUAUAUAGAUAUAGUUAUAUGGACAGGCAUAAAUUGUAGAUAACUGUGGGGACCUUAAUGGCAUGCAGAUAUUUAAAAGAUUUAAAUUGUUUUACUUUACUAAUUUAUUGUAAACACUUUUGCUUGUUAUUAAAAUGCCAGGGUUGUACUUACAUGGUUCAACAUUGGUCUGAUAUUGUAGUAUGGGUGCAUUUAGAGUUAAAUCACUCCACUUAGGAUGAACAAACUAGGUUGCCUGUAACAUACCUGUUUAGACAUGGCCUUCAAGUCACACUGGCUUUUCCUUUCCUCACUCCCCCUUCUGAGUAUGCUGUCUCCUCAUGUCAUGUCUACAUGCUCCUUGUGCCUACCCUGGGAAAAGGAGAGAUACUGCUAUUCACAUUUUUAUGACAUGGUCUUACCUAAUUACUGCUAAGUCUUUUUGUGUGAAUUGCUGCGGUAAAGGCAGCUCAAAUCUUCAACACAAUGGAUGGAUACUCUAACAGCAGUAAUUUUAUCAGUUUUUUUGCAGUACAAUAGCAUUUUGAUUCCUCACUCAGGGCUGAUUGCAGCAAAAGAUCUACAGACAUGUAAAAUGACAAAUCCUUGUCUCAAAGAAGUCAUUGCUUAACCUUACCUGGUUUUAAAAUUAAACAAAGUUAACCAGGAUGGUGUGUUACACAGGUUUAUCAGUCUUCAGUAUGAGUCAGUAUGACUGAUGCAAUGCUGUGAGAGAUGUGUUGCCUGUGAUUUCUGCUGCUGUAAGGGACAAACGGAGUCAUCUGAGCUAUGUGAAAUUCUGAGACAGACUGCAGCACAGGGCCUUCCAGUGACAAAGAGCUCUGGUGCAAGUGUGAGGGAGCUCCAUAAGUACUCUGCUUACUCCAUAAUGCCUACAACAGAUUCAAAGGAGUCAGGUAUGCUCAGUGAGACCCCUGUCUGAGAGCUGAGUUUCUAUCUAGCAGCAAAAUAUGAUGGAAGAAUUCAGCAACCCUUCAGUAACCUCUGUUUCCUUCCAUAUGACACGUGUAUAAGCAGAGUACUUCAGGUCUUAAAUUGUGUGCUAACCUUCUUGGUACCUGCUUGACUCCUGGCAAUGCAGAGAAGCUGAUUCUACCCAAGUGAAAAUAAAGGGCUGUUUUUUCUCAUUCA